CUCUCGUUCUGAAAGACCCCCAAAGGGAGACCCUCACUCAAGUCUUGGGAUAGUAGCAGACCCCCAAGAACUCAGGAGAGA
rnacentral:pre_miRNA from 7 species